CACCCAAGUCAAAUGACCACACCUGUAUUUCAAGGUUGCAAAGACGAGGGCCAUGAAAUGGCACUACCACGUUGAUGGGUAUGAUUCAUUGUACGACACACUGCUUUCCUACAGAUGAUGACAAUUGACACCACCCCCGAGGAAUGUUAGCAUGGACAAAGUUUCCACACAGUCUGGUCACUACUUGAGAUCUGCAAAUGUUUAGAAACUUAAUUAUUUUAUUCUUUCUAAAACUUACCUUUUUUAUCUGUUAAUACUCUAUGCAUAUGUUGACUUUAAACUUUUCAAAAAGAUUAAAAACCAAAAAAUGAA